GCCACACACUAAUGGAGAUAGGUAUGCAUUACAUAGCAGUAAUUUAUUAUUUAGCGUAAGGCUUGACAUUUUCACAGCAUGAUCCCUGAUGUCUGAUAUAGAUUAGAAGUUGAAGUAGCCCACAAGAACAUGCUAACGAGAGACUUCUGUAAUGUCAAUGCAAUUAAAUUGGACCAACAUGA